GGCUAGUAAUCUAGGUUUCUGGGUUUUUAGCAGUUAGUGCGUGUUUCUAUUUAAUAGCGCCGUGUUUCUCUUGAAUAGUGGCGUACAUUUAAUCGUUGGCAGAAGAACUGUAAAACCACAAUAAGAUCAGUUUUAACUUGCACUAAAGGAGUUUAAUUGUUAGACUGUCGUGUCAUUGCAAGUUUUAAUUCGGCCAAGCAUGAAAAAUGAAUGUGAGGAUUUAGAUGAGUUGCAUCAUAAUUGCAUUUCUAAUAUUUACUUGUAAGCAGUAUAGUUGACGGAAACCGUAAAUAGUUUUUUAAAUUCUCAUAUUCGGUACGUUUAUCUGUGUAUGUUUAAAAGGGUGAGUGGGGUGUGAUGUAUUUUGAGAGAAUAUGCCUAAAUUUCAACUUUCUGCUUAGAGUAAUCUCUUAAAAAAUACUCAGUUACAAAAAAUCGAUAUGAAGGUUUGUUGUGCUUCAUAUGUAGAAGGAUAUGCUGAAUUAAUGUGGUAGCAUAGCUAUUGGAUUGAAUGACAAGGUUUUCUAAUGGUGGUACUUCCAAAUACAAAGUUUAUUUUGUUAAAAAAUUGGCAAGACAGGGAUGAGAAAAGGCUUAAGAUUGUAGGGUUUCACUCUUGCAUGUUAUAAAAAAAGUGCUUAUUUACAGUGUGAACUUUAAAAAUCCAUUAGUUGGUUGUAAUUUUAUUUGCAUAUCAAAUCAUGCUAUCUUUUGACUUCCAUUAUAUUUUCUGAGUAGGUC